GCGGGUGUAGUUCAAUGGUAGAACUUUAGCUUCCCAAGCUAAUAGCGUGGGUUCGAUUCCCAUCACCCGCUCCA
rnacentral:tRNA from 6 species